AGAGUUUGAUUCUGGCUCAGGAUGAACGCUGGCGGCGUGCCUAACACAUGCAAGUCGAACGGACUUAAAUUGAAUGAGACUCGGUUGAAGGAUUUUAAAGUAGUGGCGGACGGGUGAGUAACGCGUGGAGAACCUGCCCUGUACAGGGGGAUAACAACCAGAAAUGGCUGACUAAAACCGCAUAAGCGCACAGUACCGCAUGGUACAGUGUAGAAAAACUCCGGUGGUACAGGAUGGCUCCGCGUUGGAUUAGCCAGUUGGCGGGGUAACGGCCCAACCAAAGCGACGAUCCAUAGCCGGCCUGAGAGGGUGGACGGCCACAUGGGACUGAGACACGGCCCAGACUCCUACGGGAGGCAGCAGGUGGGGAAUAUUGCACAAUGGGGGGAACCCUGAUGCCAGCGACGCCGCGUGAAGGAAGAAGUAUCUCGGUAUGUAAACUUCUAUCAGCAGGGAAGAAAAUGACGGUACCUGACUAAGAAGCCCCGGCUAACUACGUGCCAGCCGCAGC
rnacentral:rRNA from 1 species